rnacentral:lncRNA from 1 species
CUGGGGACUGAACCCAGGGCCUUGCAGGCAAGCACUCUACCACUGAGCUAAAUCCCCAACCCCGUAACAAUGGUUUUGAUUCUUAGAGCCACACGUCACCAGUUGUGACAGACUUGUCCCAUGGGGCUGCAAGUUUGUCCUUGCUUCCCAAGCAGUCUCUUGCACUUUCAUAUCCGGUAAGAAGCGGCCUUUUCCCUAAUCAUUUCUUUUCUUCUCCCUACCCUAGAGGACACCCCACUGAUACAAUUUAAGCCCCAGUGGGAGACUUCAAGACCAGGGGCUAGGAACCUUUCCUAACAGUGGAAUGUUUUGACACGUGGUCUCACUCUGUCUUACAGAUGGUGGUAACUCACCACCUGUCUGCUCAGAUUAAAGAUCAUGUCUUGCUUUUAUUGAGGUUUUACUUGUUUUUCUUUUGGUCUUUUGGAAGCAGAGCCUCUGUUUGCAAACUUGUAGACCUCCUGCCUCAGUCUCCUGAG